rnacentral:rRNA from 1 species
GACGAACGCUGGCGGCGUGCUUAACACAUGCAAGUCGAACGGAAAGGCCCUGCUUUUGUGGGGUGCUCGAGUGGCGAACGGGUGAGUAACACGUGAGUAACCUGCCCUUGACUUUGGGAUAACUUCAGGAAACUGGGGCUAAUACCGGAUAGGAGCUCCUGCUGCAUGGGGGGGGUGGGAAAGUUUCGGCGGUUGGGGAUGGACUCGCGGCUUAUCAGCUUGUUGGUGGGGUAGUGGCUUACCAAGGCUUUGACGGGUAGCCGGCCUGAGAGGGUGACCGGCCACAUUGGGACUGAGAUACGGCCCAGACUCCUACGGGAGGCAGCAGUGGGGAAUAUUGCACGAUGGGCGGAAGCCUGAUGCAGCAACGCCGCGUGCGGGAUGACGGCCUUCGGGUUGUAAACCGCUUUCGCCUGUGACGAAGCGUGAGUGACGGUAAUGGGUAAAGAAGCACCGGCUAACUACGUG